ensembl:lncRNA
AAAAUAUCCAAAUCCAAAUUGUCUAAAUUGAAAUAAUUGGUGAGUAUUAGCCACAAUUAUGUGGUAGACUUUAAACAGAGAAUGGGCUUCAUAUGCUAUUGCUGCCUGUUUGCACUGAUCUAAGUCUAUAUUGACACUAGAACUAUAAACAAGUCUAUUUUUAACACUUAGGGUAAUACCCAUAGGAUCAGAGACUCAGACCCUUUGAACCGAGAGCCAGUCCAGAUUUCUGCACUGAGGUAACCGGGGCUGAAAUAACACACUUGUAUAUUUAUCAUAUACUUGAAAAUGGCACAUAGAGCUUUAAUAUGUAAUAAUUUAGCAUUGCCAUUUUUUUAAAGGAAACAUAGCGUGAUCUGCGAUUAUUUGAGAAUGCUGAAACUUAGUUAACAUGAGCGCAUGUUUGCAUGGACACAGGAAAGGUUUGUGUUAUUUACUAAGCUUAGAAACAACAGUUGUAGGGAGUCCCACUACUAGUAAGUUUUCCAUUUGCUAUAAGAAUUGUAUAGUGUUUUUCGAGAAACAGACCACAAGUGUAUUACGCUGUUAUGUCCCACCCAUCUUCACUUCCUAGCCUGAACCUUUCCAGCCUUUCUUUUUAUCAUAAAAGCAGCUGAGCUAUAAAGCUGGGCAAAGCAGGAAAUACUGUCCACUGUUUUAUAUUAGGCGUAACUGUCUACCUGCCUUUACUCUCCCGAAUAGGAACUAUGCGCUUUACGCAAUCUUGAGUUAGUCGUCGCUUAAUUCGCCUUCAAUCAUUAGACUUUUUAUCAACACUCACACUUCCAGCUGUGUUCAGUAUUGCGGAUUUUUGUGAAAAUCUUACCUACAGUACCUGAAUAACACAGAUAUAAACUUAAAAUUACAAGGGUAAAAUCCUAAGGAUCUAGCUUAAUGUAGCCUACUAAAGUAUUCUGAACAUUUUAUUGACAAAUAUUGUCCCCACUUCACCAUCUAACACAGCGGUCCCCAACCUUUUUUGCGCCACGGACCGGUUUAUGCCCGACAAUAUUUUCAUGGACCGGCCUUUAAGGUGUCGCGGAUAAAUACAACAAAAUAAAACCAGUACCGGUACCGAAAAAAAGAAAAUUUAUUCAUAACGCGUGAAAAGACCCAGGAAAACCAAGUAAACGAUAACAAAAUAACGCUGAAAACCGAUAAAACCCCUGAAAACGAUACAUUUCACACCUGAGCCUCAACUCUCGCGGCCCGGUACCAAACGACUCACAGACCGGUCCGAGGCCCAGGGGUUGGGGACGCUGAUCUAACAUACACACUGACUACACUUUGACCCUGACCCUUAAGCUGCUUUUCUGAUCUGUUUGUGUUUAACACAUAGGAGGGUAGGAUCAUAGACCACUUUUUAAACGUUUAUUUUAAACUGACACCCAUAGUGCAAUAACAUCUAAAAAGAUUUUCUUGUGAAUUGAAAAUGCAUCAUUGUUUCCCAUUUGGUGAUUGAACAGAAUCAAAAUAGAUAAUUAUACUUUUUUUGUGACAAAUGGUUUGGGUUAUCUGUCUCAUUGUAGUCCAGCCAGUGUGAUUCAUACUAAAAGUUUGUAUUCAAUUUCUGCUGAAAGGUUAACAGGCUUUAUAAGCUUUGUAAUGGCUUGAACAAUGUAAAUGCCGUCACUUAUGCAAGUGUUUUGAGUAACAGUGUAGUGAAAUAAUGGAGGCAUAAUAUUGUGAAGAGAGGUUUUGCAAUUGCUUCCUCAAAAAUGAUCAAGGUUUCCUGAUGUUUUCUUUUAGCUGUGAUGACACUGCAAACUGUGACACAAGCUAUGCUUUCUUCUCUGUGUGUUUUUCUUUUUCUGUUUUCCCCCCUUUGCCUUGUACCAACUGAUGUUUGGAUGUUAAUUAGUGACCUCAAUCUGUCAGGUGCCACUCUGCUUUAAAAUCAGGCUGGAGUUUGAUAACUUGUGCCACCACUUCAUUUAAUCUAAAAAACCAAAUCAUUUGCCUUUUAACAUGUGUUAGCCUGGUUGCACCGUGUUUGUGUCCUUCAGUUCCCUGCUACUUCACCUCAUUUUUACAAGUUUUAAGUUUUACUCUUGCUUUUUUUUUCUCCUUUUCAUUUGUACUGUAACAGAAGAUUCAUUGCAGUUAAUACCCAUUCAGAGUCUGAAUAUCAAAGUGUCCACCUGCAGUCCCAAGUGGAUCUUGGUACAUAAACAACAUUAACCUUCAGUGCUAGCUUUGGUUUCCUUUGUUUUUUAUUUUAUUUUGGUAGAGGUUGUGACUGUCUUUUGUUUUUAAUCCUUAUUUUUUGUGGCCAGUAAGAAGUGAUAAUGUGAGUUGGCAUCUUUUUGUGUGUGUGUGAUUUCAAAAUGUCUAAAAUGCCUGUUUUGUUUUUUUUGUUUUUGUUUUGUUUUUUGUUUUGUUCUCUAUUGAUGUUUCCAUUGAUUUCAGUUGGCACAACAGACCAGUGUAAUUGCUUCCAGCCGUCAUAAUCUGUCAAUGUGCAGAAAUCUGUGGGAAAGCGUUGAAAGUUUUACUUUUUGAACACAUAUCACCACUGUCUGCAGAACAUUGUUUCGCAGCACAGGGGAACAUCUUUUUAUGGAAACCAGUGGUUGUAUCUUUUUACUUGGUGUUAGGGGAAGCAUUUUGAGAUGAUACAUAAUCACUGUAGAACAUAAAUGAUAUGUUGUUAAUUUUACUGUUUACCCCUAUAUCCCCACUAACAAUUGCAAGCUAUUACAUAAUUUUCAUACUCCAGAAAUUUGAAGCUGGUGUUAUAGACUGUUGUGGGAUUAUGGGAUUAUAUUGAGUUUAGAUACGUUUAGUAUUGUUGAAACUAACUGGUGUACUUGCAUACUGUUGUAGCUUCACUGUUUCUAAUGAGAACACUUGCUGGGUUUUAAAUUCUUCAGAUAAAAUGUUUAUGGAACUGCAUCAUGCUGUAGAUAAAAUGUGAAACAAGAAUUAAGUCCUUUUAAGGAAAUGAACUACUAAGUGGUGGGUUUUUCUGUUAUCAUAAGUGAUCAGUGUGGGUCUCUGUCUGCUUUCACAGCAGUCUGAAUUUAGAGUUUGCUGUUUGAACAUCACUAACACUUUUUUGGUGUUUUAUUUCCCAUAGGAAGGGACCAUCUGUAUUCAGACCAGUAUGUAUUUCUAUGUACUGUACAGAGUCUUGGCCUACAGCAGGAGUACCCAAUCUCAGUCUAUGAGGGCCGGUGUCCCUGCAGGUUUUAGAUCUCACCCUGGGUCAACACACCUGAAUCACAUGAUUAGUUCAUUACCAGGCCUCUGGAGAACUGAAGACAUGUUGAGAAAGUAAUUUAUCCAUGUAAAUCAGCUGUGAUGGAUCAAGGACACAUCUAAAACCUGCAGGGACACUGGCCCUCGUGGACUGGGAUUGGGGACCCCUGGCUUACAGUGUCCACUGAACUGCAAAUCUUAUGUAAUCAUAGUGAAAUCUAACCAACAAGCUAUGCAGUAUCUCGUCUGUUGAUAUCUUUAUCCCCACGUCUCUUCUUCAAUACCUACCAGAGUUGAUUUGACUUGAUGUUACUCUAAAAGAUAUGCAACCCUGUUAGCUUUUCCUUCUGAGAAAUCCUGUUUGAAUCUUGACAGAGAGUGAGUUUCUCCUCCUGAAGUUUCUGUCCUGCUAAUUUAGUUAACACUAAUCAAGGUGGAUGCUCGUAAUCAGGAUGUUUCAGACCCAAUUAUGCAGCAGAAGAAGCUCUUUUUCUUUUCUUUUUUUUCCAGAUGUGUGUGACAGUUAUUUUUGAAUGGUGCCAGGUGUUCUUCUAAUCCAGUCUAUCAUGUUGGAUGGAUGUUUGAGGGGGAAAAGUAUUUUAAAUGUCCUGGAGCUCUGUAGUGUUAGUGAAACCUAAUAUUAAAUACAAGCCACUGUGAUGACAUGUUCCUCUGACCUUUUGCUUGUCUAAUAUCUUUCACACCAUUUUCCUAACAUUUCCUCAGAGGUUGUUAAUCUGGUCGAACAUCCUGGUACGAGAAGACAUCCAGCCUUUUAACUGUUUUCUGGAAUGCUUGACUGGCGGGGCAGAUAUUGUGUAUUUGAUUGUACAGAGAUUUUGUAAAUAUUAAUAUGAUAUAUUCUACACCAGCAAUCUGUCCGUUGAUAAAGUUGUUUUAACUGUUCAGAGCCAGGUUUCCCAAGCACGACUCACAAUCCCAAUGCAGACAGAAAAUGCAUCAUGACAAGACAGAGUUAUUACCUUUGCUAAUAAUUCUAUUGGGGCUGUAAUUUAAAACUGUUGGCUAAUUGUGCUGUGACUGAUUAGAUUAACUAGAUACUAAGUUUUGUGACAUUAACAUGUAAUUGUGUUAAAUUUGCUAAUUGGAUAUAGAAUUAAUAUAUAUAUACAUUUUACAUUUAUUACCACUUGUUUGUAUACAUUUCCCCAUUGAAUUCAAAUCCAUUUUACUUCUUUACCAAGGUUAUUUCUUAAUCUAAGUUCAACUUAACAUUAGGUGGCGAUGAAAGAUGUAGUUGUUGAAUCAAAGCUUGUUUGGAUGCUCUUUGGUGGCCUCAGUGGGGGGGGGUUGCCUGUUUUCUGUCUGCUGGAUUUCAGUGCUGGUUGUUCACCUUGGCUCGCCUGCAUUUGGGAAGUUUUGGGAAUCCCAGUGCUGGUUGUCAGCGUCAGUUCUGCUGCUGCUUUUAACUCUGAUUUGGGGGGGAAAUGGUUUUUAAAAAGUCAGUUUAAAAAAAUGGCUCCCUGCCUUGUGCAAUGUGUAUGUACUGAAGUGAAGAGAUUUUUUUUUUCUAAAGAGAAAUAAAACUAAAACUGGAUGAGA